AGCGAACGCUGGCGGCAUGCUUUACACAUGCAAGUCGAACGGUAACAGGUUAAGCUGACGAGUGGCGAACGGGUGAGUAAUGCAUCGGAACGUACCCGAUCGUGGGGGAUAACGCAGCGAAAGCUGCGCUAAUACCGCAUACGAUCUGAGGAUGAAAGCGGGGGACCGUAAGGCCUCGCGCGAUCGGAGCGGCCGAUGUCAGAUUAGGUAGUUGGUGGGGUAAAGGCUCACCAAGCCAACGAUCUGUAGCUGGUCUGAGAGGACGACCAGCCACACUGGGACUGAGACACGGCCCAGACUCCUACGGGAGGCAGCAGUGGGGAAUUUUGGACAAUGGGCGAAAGCCUGAUCCAGCAAUGCCGCGUGCAGGAAGAAGGCCUUCGGGUUGUAAACUGCUUUUGUACGGAGCGAAAAGGCUCUCUCUAAUACAGGGGGCUCAUGACGGUACCGUAAGAAUAAGCACCGGCUAACUACGUGCCAGCCGCCGCCGUAA
rnacentral:rRNA from 1 species